AACGACUCUCGGCAACGGAUAUCUCGGCUCUCGCAUCGAUGAAGAACGUAGCGAGAUGCAAUACUUGGUGUGAAUUGCAGAAUCCCGUGAACCAUCGAGUCUUUGAACGCAAGUUGCGCC
rnacentral:rRNA from 1 species